rnacentral:rRNA from 1 species
GACGAACGCUGGCGGCGUGCUUAACACAUGCAAGUCGAACGAAGUGGCGAACGGGUGAGUAAUACGUGGGUAACCUGCCCUCCUUUUUGGGAUAAGCCUUGGAAACGGGGUCUAAUACCGAAUAAUGGGGGACGGGCUCGCGUUCUCUCAGCUUGUUGGUGGGGUGAUGGCCUACCAAGGCGGUGUCGGGUAGCUGGCCUGAGAGGGUGACCGGGAAGAUUGGGACUGAGAUACGGCCGAGACACCUACGGGAGGCAGGAGUGGGGGAUAGUGCACAAGGGGGGAAAGCCUGAUGCAGCGACGCCGCGUGGGGGAUGAAGGGUUUCGGGUUGGAAACCUCGGUGGCUAUAGAACGGGUAGGUGGAGAAGAAGCGCCGGCUAACUACGUGCCAGCCGCCGCGGUAAUUC